GUGGUUCAGUGGUAGAAUUCCCGCCUUCCACGCCGGAGACCAGAGUUCGAUUCCCAGC
rnacentral:tRNA from 1 species